UGACUGAAUUGCAUCCAUCCAGUUAUUCUGGACUCAAUUGAUUUGGUUAUUUGGCGUUUCGGUUCUUUGUUAUUCAGAUGAAUUGCUGAAUCGGCCAAUUCUGUUCGUCCGAAUAAGAAUUUUAACAGACUCUCUCGGUAACACCUGAAAAUGACAAAGAUCAUAGCUUUACUCUACACACUAUAGCAAAACAAUUGUGCUGCAGUUCUGUUCACAUAUGCAAUACCUCCCAACAUUUCAAACAGACACAACAAACAAAGACUGUCCUGGAAAAUUGUAGGUGACUUACUAACAACAAUUUAUACAGCUAAAAAUUUAAUUAAGAACAAGAUCAAUGUACUUUAUUUACACAGAAUGAUUUCUAAACACAUUUAUUGUAGUUUAAAAACACAUUACUGGGAGUAUUAUUACUGUGGAGCUCUGUUAUACACUCAGACACAUUACUGGGAGUAUUAUUACUGUGGAGCUCUGUUAUACACUCAGACACAUUACAAGGAGUAUUUUUGCUGUGGGGCUCUGUUAUACACUCAGACACAUUACUGGGAGUAUUAUUGCUGUGGAGCUCUGUUAUACACUCACACACAUUACUGGGAGUAUUAUUACUGUUGAGCUCUGUUAUACACUCAGAGACAUUACUGGGAGUAUUAUUGCUGUGGAGCUCUGUUAUACACUCAGACACAUUACUGGGAGUAUUAUUGCUGUGGAGCUCUGUUAUACACUCAGACACACCAAAAAUAUGGAUCUCCUAGAAAAGAGGGUCAUUAUCAUUCAAAACACGGACAGAUGGAUUUGGUCCCAAAAUAAAGAUUGCUCCUCCUAAAUAGGGACACUUGGAAGCUAUACAUGACAAACAGUAUACACAGCAACCUUCUCUCUAUUGACUUCUUCAAAAGCUAAAAACACUUUAGAAAUGUUUAAAAAAAUAAAAUGAACCUUAUAAGGAAGCUGACGCUAUUUAGAAUCAUUAGAGAAUCCAUUAUUCAGUAUUUCGUACCUACUUGCCUUUUUGCUCUAAACGUCCACUAAAAGAGCAUCUUCGUAACUCUCACCAGUGGAAAACAAUACGUGAGGCUCAUCUCUUCAUCAAGACCAUCUGUUCCUCAUCCAUCAUUUUCUCAUCCUUUUCUGACUGCAGUUUCCUCCAACAAUUUCUCCUCUAUUGAUAUAUCGUUUCUAAUUUAUAUUGUAUCUAUAUUUUGCGAGUAAAUAUUUUCCAAUGUUUUUGAUGAUUUUUAAAGUUUUGCGGCUUCCUGUAGGACAGUGAUUUGUAACGUUCCCACCCAGCAUUACAGGAAUUAGGAAAGCAUCUAUUUCGGUGUUUUUCAACCAGUGAGCUUUGACACAACGGUGUGCCACAAACCACUUCAAAGUGUUAGUGUAGCAUCUAUACACUGUAGGGCUAUAAAAAGCUAAAUGCAGACUCCUUAAAUGGUGUUUUAAGAAGUGCCACUAAUAAAACUACAUUCCUAUCUGGCAAUUAAUUGCAAUUAAUAAGUCGACUUGGCUAGGAUGAUGCAUAGCUCUCUUGUAAGGCUCCAAGUAAAUGUAAUUUUGUAUCAGGUAAAAAGUAAAAACAUAGGUAGGCUUUGGAAAAUGUUCUUGGUCCAAGAAAGGUUGGGAAGCACUGCCGUAGAAUACCAACGUUCACCAUCACUGCUUUAGAACAAAUAAAUAAAGUUUUGUUUGAAU
rnacentral:lncRNA from 1 species